GACGAACGCUGGCGGCGUGCUUAACACAUGCAAGUCGAACGGUAAGGCCCUUCGGGGUACACGAGUGGCGAACGGGUGAGUAACACGUGGGUGAUCUGCCCUGCACUUCGGGAUAAGCCUGGGAAACUGGGUCUAAUACCGGAUAGGACCACUGCCUGCAUGGGUGGUGGUGGAAGCUUUUGCGGUGUGGGAUGGGCCCGCGGCCUAUCAGCUUGUUGGUGGGGUGAUGGCCUACCAAGGCGACGACGGGUAGCCGGCCUGAGAGGGUGACCGGCCUCACUGGGACUGAGAUACGGCCCAGACUCCUACGGGAGGCAGCAGUGGGGAAUAUUGCACAAUGGGCGCAAGCCUGAUGCAGCGACGCCGCGUGAGGGAUGACGGCCUUCGGGUUGUAAACCUCUUUCAGCACCGACGAAGCGCAAGUGACGGUAGGUGCAGAAGAAGGACCGGCCAACUACGUGCCAGCCGCCGCUGUAA
rnacentral:rRNA from 1 species